GCGGAUUUAGCUCAUCCGGUAGAGCGUCUGCUUCCCAAGCAGAAGGCGACGGGUUCGAGUCCCGUAAUCCGCUCCA
rnacentral:tRNA from 1 species